GCAUUGUCGUGAGUUCCCUUCAAGCACUUUACGUGGCACUAUUUCAAUGCCUACCGUGUGAAGUGUUUGGGGGAACUCUCGGCAUCAC
rnacentral:pre_miRNA from 1 species